rnacentral:rRNA from 1 species
AUUGAACGCUGGCGGCAGGCUUAACACAUGCAAGUCGAGCGGGGUGAUGGUGCUUGCACUAUCACUUAGCGGCGGACGGGUGAGUAAUGCUUAGGAAUCUGCCUAUUAGUGGGGGACAACAUCUCGAAAGGGAUGCUAAUACCGCAUACGUCCUACGGGAGAAAGCAGGGGAUCACUUGUGACCUUGCGCUAAUAGAUGAGCCUAAGUCGGAUUAGCUAGUUGGUGGGGUAAAGGCCUACCAAGGCGGCGAUCUGUAGCGGGUCUGAGAGGAUGAUCCGCCACACUGGGACUGAGACACGGCCCAGACUCCUACGGGAGGCAGCAGUGGGGAAUAUUGGACAAUGGGGGGAACCCUGAUCCAGCCAUGCCGCGUGUGUGAAGAAGGCCUUAUGGUUGUAAAGCACUUUAAGCGAGGAGGAGGCUCUUUUGGUUAAUACCCAAGAUGAGUGGACGUUACUCGCAGAAUAAGCACCGGCUAACUCUGUGCCAGCCGCUGCGGUAA